UACGUGGGGGGCAAGCGUUGUUCGGAAUUACUGGGCGUAAAGGGCUCGUAGGCGGCCAACUAAGUCAGACGUGAAAUCCCUCGGCUUAACCGGGGAACUGCGUCUGAUACUGGAUGGCUUGAGAUUGGGAGAGGGAUGCGGAAUUCCAGGUGUAGCAGUGAAAUGCGUAGAUAUCUGGAGGAACACCGGUGGCGAAGGCGGCAUCCUGGACCAAUUCUGACGCUGAGGAGCGAAAGCCAGGGGAGCAAACGGG
rnacentral:rRNA from 1 species